rnacentral:rRNA from 1 species
ACUCCAGACUCCUACGGGAGGCAGCAGUGAGGAAUAUUGGUCAAUGGGCGAGAGCCUGAACCAGCCAAGUCGCGUGAGGGAAGACGGUCCUAUGGCUUGUAAACCUCUUUUGCCGGGGAGCAAGGGCGGGGACGUGUCCCGGCCCGGAGAGUACCCGGAGAAAAAGCAUCGGCUAACUCCGUGCCAGCAGCCGCGGUAAUACGGAGGAUGCGAGCGUUAUCCGGAUUUAUUGGGUUUAAAGGGUGCGCAGGCGGAAGAUCAAGUCAGCGGUAAAAUGGGGGGGCUAAACCUCUGCGAGCCGUUGAAACUGGUUUUCUUGAGUGAGCGAGAAGUAUGCGGAAUGCGUGGUGUAGCGGUGAAAUGCAUAGAUAUCACGCAGAACUCCGAUUGCGAAGGCAGCAUACCGGCGCUCAACUGACGCUCAUGCACGAAAGUGUGGGUAUCGAACAGGAUUAGAUACCCGUGUAA